UGUUGCAUGGAGGGGCCAGCUGAGGAAGGGACCGGGGGGAGCGGCCCCGCCGCGGCCCCGGAGACCCAGAGCGCGACGGAGGCUGGGGGCUUCAUCAGGGUCGCCAAGCGGAGCAAACGGAAGCGGCGGGCGGCCGAGCUGGAUGGGGGCGGCGGCGGCGGGAGCCGCAUGGACACGGGGCAGCCCUGGCCCAGCAAGAGGCCUGACUUCCCGCCCGUCUGCGGGGACGCGCUCAGGAGCGGAAAAGAUGAAAUGAGGAAAAUUCCUGUACCAGCAAACAGAUAUACUCCUUUGAAAGAAAACUGGAUGAAAAUAUUCACACCUAUUGUAGAACACCUGCAUCUUCAAAUCAGAUUUAACUUAAAAACAAGAAAUGUAGAAAUCAAGACUUGUAAAGAGACAAAAGACGUAAGUGCUCUAACGAAAGCAGCUGACUUUGUGAAAGCAUUUAUUCUUGGAUUUCAAGUUGAGGAUGCUCUUGCUCUCAUCAGGUUAGAUGACCUUUUUCUAGAAUCUUUUGAAGUUACAGAUGUCAAGCCUUUGAAAGGAGAUCACCUUUCUAGAGCAAUAGGAAGAAUAGCAGGAAAAGGUGGAAAAACCAAAUUCACUAUAGAAAAUGUAACCAGGACACGAAUAGUUCUUGCUGACUCGAAAAUUCAUAUUUUAGGAUCUUUUCAGAAUAUUAAGAUGGCACGAACAGCAAUUUGCAAUCUCAUUUUAGGAAGCCCUCCAUCAAAAGUCUAUGGCAAUAUUAGAGCUGUGGCAAGCAGAGCAGCUGAAAGAUUCUAAGACCCAGGACUCUAAUUUGGGACUCUGUAUCCAAUAUACAGAUAUUGUGGCUGGAGAUCUUAAUACACAGCUAAUGUGUAUAGAAAUAACACAAGUUCUGCAUGAAGCUUACAGAACUCCUUCCUCAAGGCACAUGACGAAUGGGUCUGAUUGAGCAGCUAUUCAAUAACUUGUUUCCUCACUGUUCGCUGUAGGACCCCCAGCCUUAUUUACUGCAUCCUAUUCAAUCCUGGCUCCAAAGACAAUUUUGUCAUCAGCUUUUUGCUAUAGUAUUGAGUGCUUCACAAACAGCUUAUUUUCACAACGGUGAGGGAGUUCUAUACCCAUAAUACAGAUUAACGACUAAGGCAGAGAGAUAGUAGACCCUUCUGAUGAUAAAGUUUAGGAGCUUGGUUUAAGAUGUGGGGGGAAAUUCCAGCUACUACAAUAGAGGCAGUGGGGUAAAAUGGGGCACAGUUGGGCCCAGCAAUCUCCUGGGACUCACAACAGUGCAGAAAAGCUCCUCCUCACUGGGACCACCAGGACAUAUGUGGUAGUAAGCUUAAUUAUUGCAUUUCCUAACUUGAGUGCUUGGCUUUAACUCAUGUUUAAUACAAUUUUAAUUUUUUUUAAAGGCAAUAUAUUAACUCCUACACCAGGCCAUCAACAGGGUUGGAACCUUUAGAUAGAUCACCCACUCCUAGCUUUUCACCCCAGCCCACUCCUUUCCUUCCCCCUGGCUUGAGUCUUGUCCCUUCUGUAUUUGCCUAAGGUGGCUUCCUCUGCUACCCUACCUUGACACCAGUAGGGGCAUCACUGAGAGCAUCGGAUAGAGGGGUUCCCUGUUACAUUCCUUAGCUCAGGGGUCAUAGAGGUUUUACAUGGGUUGCAAGUACAUGCAUGAAACAGAGCAUCUGCUAUAAAAUAUCAUUUAAAUACCUUCUGCAGUUUUGGCUGCUGCUGCAGCAGUGCUGCCUUCAGAGCUGGGUGCCUGGCCAGCAGCCAGCACUCUGCGGUCACUCCACUCUGAAGGCAGCACAUGCUGCCAGCAUCACCACAGAAGUAAGAGUGGCAAUGGGGUGCUAGUCAGUCUAUUGUGAAGUGAUAUUUGUAUGUUAAUACCACUUUUCACUGCCUCCCAGCUAGCGAGCAAUUCUGCUGUGAAAAGCGAUAGACAGUUUCUUCACAUACCUCCUGGUAUUAAACAGUAAAUAUUUAAAAAUAUAACUUUUCUGCUAAUAAUUCAAUCUUUAAUUUAAAAGCUGUGAGAAAAGAUAUUCAUUUUAAAUAGGGUGAUUAAUUUAGCAUUUAAAGUAGUGUUAAAUAUAAAAUAGUGGUUUAAUUUAGAUGGGGAGGUGUCAAAGGGGUCAGCCAUACAAAAAGUUUGUGAACUACCCUAGUCCACUGCUGCCAAGCAAGUGGCUUCCCCCCUGCAGCCUAGUGUAGUCAGCAGUUGGAGCAGGGAAAUAGAGCAUGCUGGGUGCAGAUAAGAUUUUAGCUGCUUCACUCUGACCAUGUGAAAACAGAUUUUUCAGAGGCUUAGAACUUGGUCAAAUUUCAGUUCCAUUCUCAAGGUAUGGGGGUACAAGGGCUUCUCAAAGAAAUUCUAAAACCAUUUUAAAUAUGGGGAAAAUGUAUUUUUCCCUAACUUUGUUCUCAAAACCAGCAGAACCAUUUUGCAUGAAACCUUCCAAAAUGAUUCCAUUGCAAUUUGCCAAACUUCAACUGUUUGGGCUGAAAAGAUAUAAACAACGGAAGCUACGGUCUUAUAUGGGGAAGAUGUCAGGCAAACUUCAAACGUAGUGCUACCAGUAACAAUGAACCAGCCAAAUUCCUCCACUUUAAGCAUACUAAAUACUUUCCCAAUGUAAACAGGUCACUUGUUAUGAAGGGAGAUUUCUAUUAAAUGGAGCAUCCUAAAAAGACCCCACUUCCAUGUUCAAGUUUAUACAUUUUAAAAUGGAAUUUCAGGCCUAUACCAUCCUUCUGAAUGCAAGGACAGCGCGAGAUAUGUACCUGCCUGAAUCUUGUACUAUUGAACCAGCUCAAUUUAAGUAAAGCAGUGAACCGCUCUACUGGACAAGGUUCUAGUUCAAUAAAUGCUGCUUGAAGUGGUACGGAGCGUAUGCAGAGUUGCUGGUGCUCAGCACAUCAAUACAGCAGCAGAUUUCCCCUCAAAAAUUUCAACUAUGAAGCCUUCUGCUGGGGGUGUUAAUACGGCUGCAUGUUUAGAGAAAUGAACCGCUGUAACCUGUUGAAUAGUUUUGUAGCAUAUGUGUGCACCUCUGUAAAGGCACAUUUUUGCACUUCAGGCACCUGCUCCCAUUUAUCACGUGCCCAAAACACUACCAAACUUGUACUAAGGGUCCCCCCCGCUCUACUAAUAGUUAGAAUAUCUAGGUGAGUUGUGAUUUAAAGUUAGUCGGAAGAUUGGCUUGUGUUGUCAAACUUCAUCCCAAUCCUGUCUUGUCCUGCAACUUUGUCUUGUAUACGCAUUAGUACCGGUACUGCUUUUUUGCGAAGGGCUCAGACAUCUUUGCCCCAAACUAGUGAGGGCUAGUUAAAUGGGAAGAAAGCAUUAUGAUAGACUAAUUUAGUCCUACCAUUUUACACACCAACUUUGAGAGCAGUAGAAAGAAUAGCUACGUUGCACAAGAGUUUUCCUGAGGUAAGUGUGCACUGAAUGGAAGCUACUGUAAAGCUAGCAUUGGGUGCUACACUGAAGGACAAAACGCUCCUCCUCCCCCCACACUGGGCUAGCCCCCAAAAGAAGCUUCUUCUGAAGUGGGACGUCAAAAGAAAUGAAAUAAACAGGCUUUGGUUGAAAUAAAAGGACUUCCAGACUAGGAGUGUUUUUCAGUACUUAGAAACCAGACAAUUGUGUUUUCCCUCUGCUUUCUUCAGAGGAUAGUGCACCUGCCUCCGAGGACAAAGAUCAUUCCAAAAUGCCUGUCAUCCUUGCAUUUAAGUUAGAGCUUCCUUUUACCACCAAAAAACGUCUGAGCUAGUUGAGCUGUCUCCAUGACGGCAGGUGGGUCCUAUGAGACAGAGUUCUGUGUGGCUCGAAAGCUUCUCUCUCCCCAACAGAAGUUGGUCCAAUAAAAGAUAUUACCUCACCCACCUUGUCUCUCUCAUGUCCUCUGGAUUGGCAGAUGAGCAUAUAGGAGAAAAAUAACCUUUAUAAAAUCAUGUGGCUCUGAAACACUGCAAAUGGGAGACUGGCAAUGUCCCCACUAACAGCUGGCAUCUUCUAACGCACACAACUUUCAAUAGGAAUUUUAUAGCGCGAGUACCCAAUUUCUUUAAACUAACAGCAACUAUGGAAUUAGUUCUGCAACAUUCAUUUUUAAAAGUGUAAAGUAAAGCUGCCUGACAUGAAGCGCAACAGAAACAUUUAGGACCCGAUGGCAAGGUUCAAAUAUUUUAUUUUUUUAUUCAUAUAGUAUGAAGGUUCUAUAGUUCCCACAACAUAUGAUGUAGCAUGCAGAGGAAAAACUAAACAUUCAACAUAAACCGUUUUCCCCACACAACCUAAAAAAAACCCUUAUCCCCCCGAUAAGGAAAUAACAACAGCACUAUUUGCUAGAACGCCAGCCAAGAUAUGCACAAGCGAGUAAGAGAAAUAGAAAGCAUUUGCUAAAAUGUUUGUAACAAAUACUUAUGUACAAAAAAUUCACAAAAGACUAGUUCCCCCUUGAAGCAGAGCACAUGGCAGUUGACAAUGGAACAGAUACAACCACUGGCUGGGAUUAUAAGCCACGUACUGAUCCAGAGGAAGAAAGUUACAUGUAGUGGAGAUUUUCGGUUUGAACAUUAACAUUUACCAAAGUUUGGCAACAUUAUCUUUUUAAAUUAUGCAAAUUAUGUAAACAAGAGGAACAUUUCAAUUCGAUCUACAUGCAAAACUUCAUGUCAUGCAAGGACACCAAGCACCUGGAUUUCUCUCUCACAGACAGAGCCCAUGAUGUGCAGCACUCAGUUGAAGGAACAGCUAUGGCAGACAGGUGCUCCAUUUAAGUAGGUUCAUACAACCUGUCCUUUCCACUGUUGAUUAUAAAACAUUUUUUAAUAGAAAAACUGCUAUACAGCAAAGAUGUACUAUCCUAAAAAUCUAGUAAAUGUGUUUGUCUUCCAGCCAAUAGUACCAUUGCAGAAAAGGGAAGGGAUGAUAUAAAGUUGUAAAACAUGGCUCGCUACUUUUAUAUCACACAAAUAUAUCAAGUUACCAUCCAUUAGAAAUCAUGAUAUGGACAAAUCUA